UUUGUACCACAAGUCCAACUUGGUGCAUCCACUUCCAUUCCUCCAUGCUCUGCUCGCUGUGCAUCCCUAACCGAAUUUUUUAGUGGUUUGUGGCCAUAGAUUAAUUCUACUCCCUGCUUCCUUAAUCUUCCAUCUAUUUUCAUGUGCAUAUCAUAGGACAUAUUCAGCUAUCUUAAUCUUUAUUUUAGAUAAGGUUUUCCUUUUACAGAAUUUAUCACUUCCCUAAUGUAUAUGCUUUUGCUAUUUCCAUUUGUGUUCCAUGCAUCAUGCCAAUUUUGUGUGUGUUCUGGUUGAUCAAUUAGGCUAAAGACUGAGACAUUUUCAUCUUUAUUCAGAUUUUGCGGAUGUCGUUUCACAACUGAAGAAACAUUUCCUUUUUUUCAUAACACUUCUUUCCCCAAUGGUAAAUAAAUUUACCAUGAUUAUCAUUGUCUCUACUGUAGGAAAAUCAUUGGAUGAUUUAAUCCUUUAUCACCUUGCUUAUGUAUAUUUUCUCUUUCCUAUGACUUUCCCCUUCUUCAUACUCUUAUUCUAGAUUUAUUUAUCAAGUUAAGUUGUUCCAGUUCCCGACUUUCAUUUAGAUUAAGCAAGAUACAUCUUCUCAUCACAUUGUUUAGCUUGUGAUUUUGGUUACUAUUUAUAAGUAUCGAUGCUAAAAAUAUAUGCUUGCAGGGAGAUUGGAUGAAUAAUCAUGCAGACUUGCCUACUGAAAGAAUUAUCGCCUUGAGUAUACCAAUGGAAAAUUCUUGUGCGUGUUGCUCGCAACUAGGAAUACAUGGAUCAAGCCACUCAACAACAAUUAUACGAGCUACAUUCUAUUGUCAUUGACCAAGAGCUAUGACAACACAUUGACAGGCUAGGAGCACAAGUUUUUCAAAAGGUGCGACCUAAACAUUUUGGUUAGUCCAAUGUUUUAAAUAAUGCAUAUGUGUGCCCAUGUUGUACAUGCAUUUUUUUUGGAUUCAAGCGCAUUUUGGUCUUCAAUAGAUCCUGAUUGCUGAGUUUAUGGGGAAAAUAAUUUUCUUUUGGACUUAGAUGGUUACAGCAUCAUGUGCAGGUUAAGGAACUUUGGUACAAAUUAAAGUUCAAUGAAUUCUAAAUGUAGGUGAUUUCCUUAUUUUACUUUAAAAUGUUUGAUUGAUGUCACCCAGUCAUACUGUUAUUUUUGUAACAUACCCGCAGUUAACUGCAAUAUUUGAAAAUAAAGAGGGCAUUAAGCAUCUGGCAGCAUAUAUUUGCUAGAAGGUCAUCCAUCUAAUGAACACAUCGUAUAUGUUUUUCAUGCACAACUCCCUGUGUUAUCUGGUUUGGCUUGGUGGUUGUUUCUCUCUGUUUCCAAUUCACACAUUAGGGCAGAAAAUAAUAAUGAUCCCAUUUUGAGUUAAGGAUUUGUCUAAACAUGAGAAUUUACUAGGAGGUUGAACUUAGAUGAUUGCCUAUGUGUGGGUCAUCUCUAAUACCGAUAUCCCUAGCUUUACUAAAACAACUAAUUAAACUAAUAUUAUUGGUGUAAUGAGUCCAGGGCAUGCAUUGAAAAAUUCUUCCUUGAAAAACCAUAAUGAUCUUGAGAUAUUCUAAACUGUGCACAAGCAUUUAGAUCGUAACGGAUUUCCAUAUUUGGGUGUAAAUGGUCAAUGCAUUUGCUUCUCUGCAUAUACUCCUAAGAUAUUUAUUUUAUGGUGAACCACUGAACCAUAUAUUCUUGGUAUGUUAAACAGUUUAGAAUUCUUAUCGACAUGCAAAUGCAGAUUAAGACUGCUUGGCCCCUCUGAUGUUGUAGGAGUCAGAUGCUCUUAUGCUAUCUAAUUUUGCUUUUGAGCAACAGGUACAAACAACAAGAUAUAAACUUAGUGAUGCAUUAUAUGAGGGCCGGCUAUGUACGAGAAGUAUCAUGUUUGUUGCACCUUUUUCACUGGAGGCAUAAUGUAUGAAGUUAAGAUGCAAGAACCAUGUAUCAGAUGUUCCGUUUUCUGUUCUUUGUCUGUCACUGUGUUGGAGACCAUCUUCUUUUGUUUCUGUUCUCUGCACCCUUUAUUGCUAUAUGAAGUUCCAAUUACCCAA